AGCAUUGUGUGUGUUUUUAACUUCUGGAGAAAGACUCAUAGAUAGGUGCAGAAAAAACAAUCCUCUUCUGCAGCCCAGAACUCACUGUUCUGUAUGAGUUUUGAUAAGUAUAAGAAGGAAUAUG
rnacentral:snoRNA from 1 species